GUGUUCACUUCAGCAGCACAUAUACUAAAACUGGAACAAUACAUAAAGAUUAGCAUGGCUCUUUAACAAAGAUAACACAAAUAAUUGGUGCAUUUUUAAAAAUAAUU